rnacentral:lncRNA from 1 species
UCGAUACUGUCGAAUCCCGCGAGAAAGAUAAUGUACGAUACGGAUUUGCAGCUGAGUCAACUCGGUGAACGACCGAGGCAAACUCAAAUGCCACCUCCACCUCAGCCACCGCAGCCGAUACAGUCGCAACCGGUCAGAAGAAGCCCGCCUCCUCCGGCGAGAAGGAGCCCGCCUCCUCCGGCGAGAAGGAGCCCGCCACCUCAGGCUAAAAUAAGUCCGCUUAAUAAGGACAAAGGCGUAAGCAAUAGGACAGUAGAAGAAGAGAGGUCAAGUUCGAAUAACGUGACUGAGUCGACUCGCGAAGCUCGAACGAGUCGGACCGAGACGAACCGUCCGAGCGAGGCAGCGU